rnacentral:lncRNA from 1 species
UCCGCAUGCGCCGACAUCCUCUGCCCUAAUGCCGUAGUCCAUCGCCGAGAACACAGAGAGAGGAGUGGAGGUCUACGGCGCCGCCGACGUCGUCUGUGGCCAUCACUGUCGUUCAGUACUCGCGUAAAGAUUUCGGGGAAGCUUCGUGCCGUGAGGGACCUGGGCGGACCUCUCUCGCAUGGGAAUUUGGCUGGACUCGCCGGGAAUUUCUCUCCGUCGCUCACGGUUCGCCGCCGACCACAUCACGACGUGGCCAGACUCAUCCGACCGCUCCUACACCGGUAAGACUCCUCCUGUGUGCCUCGCCUAGUUCCGCGGUCAACGUAGCACUCGUCUGGUAGGGAUUACAGCUCGGAUGCCUGGUUCUGCAUGUUCCGAUGAGGUCGCUACCGUAGCCUGGUGACCGUCGUGCUCGCUCUGGUGCGCGUAGGGUCGACGAUGAGGGCGCAACCGUUGGAUUCAGCAAACGGUUUAGAUUACAUGGAUGAGGCUAGUGAACCAGAGCCGUUGAUUUUUCAGCACAUGGCCACGAUUAGACCAUAGGUACCGAUUCGUAUAAACGAACCCGGUGCGUUGAUCGGCCUCUGGACGCGUAAUAUUGCGUCGGUGGAUUUUAAAUUAGAGUCGUUGUUCGGCCAAUGGGUGGCGUGGAUCCGAGCCAGUCUAACCCCUUCACGCGAUGUAAUCUGGAUCGUCCAGAUCUAAUCCAAUGGCCUGUGUCCUGCGAUACCCCUUCGCAAGCACGUUUUGCAUAAGAAACCCUACAGUUCGGGGUAAUCAACCCGCGGUUCAUGAAAGCCGAGCCCUGUGUCUUAGACUCUUUGUGCUUUAGACCCUGUACUCCUAAGAAAUUGUUGCGCAGUCCAGGAAUUAAAGGAAACAAAAAAAUAGAUUUAGAAAUUGAUUUUGAGUAUAAAAAUAAUUGUAAAAUUACAUAAUUCAUAGAAAAUUCAUAAGAAGUCCAAAUUAAUCCAUUCCAAUUCCUAUAAUUUUGUAAUAUUAUUGUUUAUCAUCUAGUAUCACUGUUUUGACAUGAAAGUCAGAUAAAAAAAUUUAUAUCCUAUUUAAUCUUGUACAAAACACAUAGAAUCGUUAGAAAUUCAUAACUUAAAAUCUAUAACUCCAAAUUGACCCGUUCCAGUUGCGUUAGCUUCAUAUGAACAUUUACUAAGCAAUAACGAUAUUUAUUAUACCAUGUCUCAUUCUUUUAUAAUUAGAUCUUUAUUUAACUUAUGUUGGUUAGUCUUGUUAAUCUGCUUAUCAUAAUAAUCUACUAAUAUCUGAUCUAUGGUCAAUUUAUAAUUUAGAUUAAAGUUGAAUUAAUUACUACUUUAGGUCAUCUUUUCUCUGGAAUUAUAAAAUAAAUAUAGAACCUAGUUUUAACUUGAUGACCACGACUCCGACCUUAGUAGUUCUCGAUCCCACGAUCUCGUAGCAACGCGUAGAUUAUCAUUAUGCAGUUUGUUCUUAUGUUUGGUGUGAUGUUAAUUUUGUCUAUACCAUGUCUGUUUGUAUUUCUACGACUAGCAGUGAGGUCACGAGGAUUGAAGAAUCACCCUAGUACCUGGAAUCUCAAGUCCCAGGCAAGUUGUGUCCUUGAUCACUUUUGUUUACCCAAUAAUGUUCUUUAUUAUCACUAUUCAAUGCAUAGGUUUAAUUUUGAUGGGACCGAAUAGGUCACCCUAGUCUGUUUCUCUUUUUUACCUUGUUUACCCCUAAAUCAUUUGGGUAGUUAUGCUAUUGCUUUAUAUGGUUUUGGGUUAAUAUUUCAUUAUAUCCAUGUUCCAAUUAUUCUGUUAUGUUAUUUAUGUUCAUGUCAAGAUCAUUAUCUUUAAUUGGAACAUGGAGCUUAACUUGAGAAACACGUGCCACCACAAGGAAAGCUAGUGGAAGACUACCUUACCCGAAAGGGGCAAGGGCAGUAGGGGAGUUGCAUGCAGGGAGGUUCUCGGGUUGAUUUUGCUGCGAAAGCGGUCAGACGAAGGAUUCUUGCAAGUGCUCUUCCCAUAAACUGUAGCGGGUUUUCAGAAGCUAGUGGAACUUUGUAAAGACCUCAUAGUGUUACCCUGCCUCGCUUCCUUAGUAGAGGUGUAUGAGAUUCAUGACCCCUUGGGAGAUGGGUAACAUGACUUGUGGGUAUAGGGUACAACCUCUAGAAAAAGUAAAACUAGUAUACUAGCCGAGCUCACGGUCAUGAGCAGCUCAGGACUCUUGCAUGAUUAAAUAUGGAACUUAAAUUCAAUUUGUCAUUCGCAUUGCAUGGGAUUAUUUAUUAAUUUUGUUCUAUUAUUUAUUAUGGUUUGGUAUUUACUUACAUUUAGUAACUGCUAAUAAAAUUAGACCAACUUAUUAAAAGCAAUGCUCAGCUUAAUAAACCCCUAUUGUUAAUCAGCCUUACACUUCACAUGAACUCCCACCUUUGGUGAGUUCAUGCACAUUAUUCCCCACAACUUGUUGAGCGAUGAACAUGAGUGAGCUCACCCUUGCUGUAUCACACCCCCUCACAGGAGAAGAACAGGUGGUUCAAGAGGAGCCACACAAUGUGGAGUUCGAUUUGAUCUAGGUGGCGUCUCCCAGUCGACUUUAUGGCGCCAAGGAUGGACUUUAGUUCGAUCUAUAUUUUAUCCUGUAAGACUUUCACUAUGUAAUAAGUACUCUGAUUAUAUUGUGACAUUU